rnacentral:RNase_P_RNA from 1 species
GCGGAUGGCCGGAUGGCCGCGGGGGCGACCCCGAGGAAAGUCCGGACUCCCUGAAGCAACGGUGCCGGGUAACGCCCGGGCGGGGAAACCCGACGGAAAGCGCCACAGAGAACAGACCGCCGCGCUCGCGCGGCAAGGGUGAAACGGUGGGGUAAGAGCCCACCGCGGGGCCGGCAACGGCCGCGGCACGGCAAGCCCCACCGGGAGCAAUGCCAGAUAGGACCUCCGCGGGGCGCGUCCCCAGGGCCGCUUCAGCCCCAGGCAGGUCGGGUAGGCAGCUUGAGCGCACCGGCAACGGUGCGUCGAGAGGAAUGGUCAUCGACGGGGCGCGAGCCCCCGAACAGAAUCCGGCUUACAGGCCAUCCGCGCAU